rnacentral:sRNA from 1 species
UUGCCAUUUCUGGCCAAUGCAACUACUGUAAUUAAAAAUAUACCCCAAGCUAAUGGAACUCGUUGGAAUGUACAUUUUGUAUGAAAUAUUUACACAAUUCCCCAAUUCCUCGACAAAUUUGUUGGCCUUGGAAAUAUAACAAAAUACCUAUAUUUAAUGUGGAAUAUUGCAAAAUGUUUUUCCAGCUGUGGCAAAUGUGUGAAAAAUAUAUUUUUUUGCUGCCCUGGUAUUGCACCACAACUUAUACAGUUUAGUUUGUUCUCAUCGCAUGAUAUAACUAUUACAAUUGUAAAGAACGCUACUCAUUUACUGCAUGUUUGCAUUACUUUCCAAACUAAUUUUUUCUUUUGAUUUAAAUACUAUAACUAGAGAAGUAAUAUUUAUGGGCUAAGCAAAUUUUUUAUCAGUUUCUGUGACAUUUUUUGAGCCAAAGCAUCAAGAACGGGAAAAGGUGAAAACGGAAUAAACAAAUGGCUUCCAAAUUGCCCACGGGGAUUGCAGCUCUCCUGGGUUCCUUGGCUGGGCCUAAGCCAAUCUGCUGCAAAUGGAAAAAUAAUAAAAUCAAAAGGUCAAAAAGGAAGGCAGGCCGUAACAAACCGAAACACCAAAAACCCAGCCGCAAUAAGCCAAACGAAAAACUUGGAUUCAUAAUCAGGUCGAGCAUUUCCUUGUGGCUGGCAGUGAUUUUAGACCACGGAAAGAAGUAUCCGAAUCUAAAAGGUUGUUUAAGGUGUUUCCCACGAGUGUUUGCAUUGAUUUUUGAACCAUUUGUCAUGUACAGCGACUUCAAGUCGCUAUGUUAUAGAUGCAUUUACCUAUGUUUUGAGUUUAUUUUGCGCAGAUUCAAAAAUGCAUGAUGGUAGCAUCCUAGCCAUAUUUAUGCAGUCCCAAAACCUCGGGCCACCAACAAAAACACCAUCAACUGUGGAAAAACCAGCAAAAACAGGGGACAGGUCGGUCGCAUGUUGAACAUGCAAAACAUUUGGCCAUUUUAUCAGCGCUUCUGCUUACAUUAUUAUCAUUGUUGUUAUUGCGCCAUUUUGCCAGAUACGUUUUCGGCAUUUGUUGUUUUUCAAUAUUUUCAAUGCUGUGGUCGCUGCAGUAAUAUUAUAAUAUUCACAAAGCCUUUCGUUAUAACUGAGAGUAGAAUCAGCAAAGUACUACUUUAUAUUCAUUUAGCUACAUUUCUUAAAAGAUGAAAUAUUCAAUAUGUUUGAGGAGUUAUAGUAAAAUCAAAUGCUUAUUACUAUUAUCAUUCCUGUUGCAUUUGAAACUAUGCAUUACUUUGAUUGGAUAACAAGGCUCUUUCGCUUAACCUCAACACGAAGAGAAUAAAGAGAACACCUCGAAUUUUCCUCAAUUUUCUUGACUCUGCAGAUUUCCAUUUUCGCUAAUACUGCGUCGAUUUUUCCAGCGCCAUUCGAACGAUUUCCAUUGUCAGUUGUGUGUUUUGUGUUUGCUGCGCUUCGCUACUAAUUUUUGCCGCAUGUUCAUGAACCAAAAAAUUGCUGUUCCCAUUGGCAAUCCCGAAUGCCACGCCCCCUGCAUCGCAGCCCCUUUGCUGGCGUACGCGGCGUAUGCGUGUUGGCCAACUUGUCGCUUUUGUUGUUGUGGGUUUUGUUGUCUGACAGUUGGCAGGAAAAAUAUUAACGAUGCCACAGCGCUUUUAAAACACACAUACCUACAUCCACACAGUUCCUGUUUUUUUUCGGGUUUGCUGGAAAAUAUUUACUGUGCUUUAACCGGUAUUCUCGGUUGGUUAUGUUCCUGUUUUUUCCGUUGUCGUUCGCACAGUUUUCAACUAUUUUCGUAAUUGCGGCGCAUUGUCGCUGCCAUUAGUUUUCCCUUACUGUUUUUCCCUUUUCACUCGGUGUUUAUGGAUCUUUUUUCCAUUUAUUUAUGUUUGAAGUUGGUACUAACUAUGUUUGAGGAUUUAUGAAUUUAUUUUCGGCGCUGUAUAAUUGAAUUAUUUUUUGACUGCUUCCCAACGCAGUUUUCCAGUACUAUUGCCAUCUUUUUAUCUUUUAAAAAUGGCAGCCAUUCAAUGGCCCACGAAAUCGAUGAUGAAAUAUAGCAGGUUCUCGAUUUUGGCUUGUGGGAUCCAUCCUCAGGGAGUAAUUGAAAUUCCAUCGUUCUACCGAUAAGGGAGAACUGAACCAUCAACGGACGUUGGGGAAAUGCACGAUAAGUUCUUCUGACGUGGCCAAUCAUUUGGCUCGAAUCCCCCCCUCGCCUCUCUUGGGCCACCGCCGCUUUUCUACGUGUUUCGCGUUGCAAUUUUCAGCUGAGCUCAUGUGCAAACGAGCAAUUUUCGUCAGCCCGAAAGAAGAAACUCCGAUGCAGCCUGAGUUUGAUUUUGAGCUGCAGAUGCUGCUUGCAUUCAAUCAGCAAAGCUGAUCGACAAUUGAAUGAAAUGCGAUUUGCGCCGACAGGACGAUGCAGGACCCUCAAUAUUCUGUCCUCACUUGCGUAUUCAUUUUCCAAUUUGGGGAAGGGCAGCGCGGACUAAUUGGUCUCGUUUUAAUGGGAGCUAGUGAACUAGUCUGUCCACUUCUGAGCUGCACAGGAAGGAAUGUUGAAUUUGUAUGGAGCCCUCGCCUCGCCACAUUCGACUGCCAUCUUACUGGGGAUCAUUUGAAGUUCUUCUGGUCACUCCGAUGGAGUGCACUCCACCCAACGGCUGUUCAUCCUGCUCUGCGGCGUCAAGGAAAAACUGCGAUGAACUGGGCAAAUUAAUAUGCCUUUAGUCCCAAUUGUUGAUGCUAUUAAGACUUGGAACGCACUAGAGUGAACUUACAAUUAGAUAACACUUACAAUUUUGCUAAAAGAAAAAAAUUCCAAGUAGGCCUUACUUAAUUGUUUUUUUUUAAGUUAUCACAUAUACUCUUAAGCUCGUUUGAUAGUGAUUAUUAAAUGCACAUGUAGGUCCAUAAA